rnacentral:tRNA from 1 species
GCCCCGGUAGCUUAGUGGUAGAGCGACGGCCUCGUAAGCCGUAGGUCGCGGGUUCAAAUCCCGCCCGGGGCU